CGAGAGAGCUCGGGAAAUGAAG
rnacentral:miRNA from 1 species